GGAUGUGAGGGCGAUCUGGCUGCGACAUCUGUCACCCCAUUGAUCGCCAGGGUUGAUUCGGCUGAUCUGGCUGGCUAGGCGGGUGUCCCCUUCCUCCCUCACCGCUCCAUGUGCGUCCCUCCCGAAGCUGCGCGCUUGGUCGAAGAGGACGACCUUCCCCGAUAGAGGAGGACCGUUCUUCGGUCAAGGGUAUACGAGUAGCUGCGCUCCCCUGCUAGAACCUCCAAACAAGCUCUCAAGGUCCAUUUGUAGGAGAACGUAGGGUAGUCAAGCUUCCAAGACUCCAGACACAUCCAAAAAAAAAAAAUAUUGUGAGGAAUCUCCACACUAUUUU
rnacentral:snRNA from 1 species